UGAAGUCCAGGGGCUCAAUCCUCA
rnacentral:piRNA from 1 species